UACGUAGGGUGCAAGCGUUGUCCGGAAUUAUUGGGCGUAAAGAGCUCGUAGGCGGUUUGUCGCGUCUGCUGUGAAAACCCGAGGCUCAACCUCGGGCUUGCAGUGGGUACGGGCAGACUAGAGUGCGGUAGGGGUGACUGGAAUUCCUGGUGUAGCGGUGGAAUGCGCAGAUAUCAGGAGGAACACCCGAUGGCGAAAGGGCAGGUCACUGGG
rnacentral:rRNA from 1 species